AGUGGGAGCUCUGUGGACACCGCUGCCCCAGAGCAAUGCAGGAGGUUUCUGUCCCGCCCCUGGGAGUGAAGGGGCGGGGUCGUUCCCCUCCUUACAGA